rnacentral:misc_RNA from 1 species
GGCCCAAGUUAAGUGAUUUAUUUCCAGGAUGCUCUUCAACAUAUCUUACGACUUUCUCAACCAAAAGGAAAAGUAGAAUACCAGACAGAAUGGACAGACCAACAGAAAGAUCUUGUAGGGAGUGAGAAUGAGAAUGGCCAUGUUCAUGAUGAUCAUCGGUGUGGCUGAUAUGAUGUUCAUGUGAGUGAGAGUGCUCUCCACCGAAAGCAUGUGGUAAUUGAUGAAGAAAAGCAUCCCCUAGCA